rnacentral:tRNA from 1 species
GGAAGUCAACCGGCUGGAUGAGGGUCCUGUCUCGAAAACAGGUGGUCGCAAUUGUGACUUGUGAGUUCGAGUCUCACGGCUUCCG